rfam:Triticum aestivum genome assembly, contig: Triticum_aestivum_CS42_TGACv1_scaffold_220764_3B
GGUGUACUCCCCCCGUCCGGAAAAGCUUGUCCCUCAAAUAAAUGUAUCUAGCAUCAAGUUAGUGCUAAAUACAUCCAUUUGAGGAACAAGCUUGGGACAAGUUUUCUCGGAUGGAGGGAGUACAAU